rnacentral:pre_miRNA from 1 species
ACAUUUAGGCCUGAUCCAAAGCCCAUUUGAAGUCAGUGGGAGUCUUUCCAUUGACAUCAGUAGACUUUGGAUCCGGCUUAUGUUGU